rnacentral:rRNA from 1 species
UACGUAGGGUGCAAGCGUUGUCCGGAAUUAUUGGGCGUAAAGAGCUCGUAGGCGGUCUGUCGCGUCGGCUGUGAAAACUCGGGGCUCAACCCCGAGCCUGCAGUCGAUACGGGCAGACUAGAGUGCUGUAGGGGAGACUGGAAUUCCUGGUGUAGCGGUGAAAUGCGCAGAUAUCAGGAGGAACACCGGUGACGAAGGCGGGUCUCUGGGCAGUAACUGACGCUGAGGAGCGAAAGCGUGGGGAGCGAACAGG